GGGCUUUAUUCUGAGGCCCCACCAGAAAACCAACAGAGGUUAGACCGUGAAGUGGCACCAUGAUGGAAACAUCUCUACAAUAUCUGCUCUUUCCUUGUUUGCUGCUUUGCUGCAGAACAAAUGAAGUCCUCCCAGCUGCUCUGACUGUGAGUCCCAGCAGAUCUCAGUUCUUUGAAGGAGACUCUGUGUCUCUGAGCUGUGAGGAGGACAACAGCUCUGCUGGAUGGACUGUGAGGAGAAACAAUACCAGAGGAACCAGGAGUGAGUGUGAUG